rnacentral:RNase_P_RNA from 1 species
AGCCGGCCGGGCGGCCGCUCCGGGCGCAUGCCCGGGGAGGAAAGUCCGGGCUCCAUGGAGAUGCGGUGCCGGAUAACAUCCGGCGGGGGAAACCCCAGGGACAGUGCCACAGAAAGCAGACCGCCGCGGCCUCGGCCGCGGCAAGGGUGAAAGGGUGCGGUAAGAGCGCACCGCGGACGCAGUAAUGCGGACGGCACGGUAAACCCCACCGGGAGCAAAACCGAAUAGGGAUGACAGGCGUUCGCGCCAGGCCCAUUUCCAGGCUGGUCAUCCGGGUUGGUUGCUUGAGGCGAUCGGUGACGAUCGUCCCAGAGGAAUGGCCGCCACGUCCGAGGCUUGCCUCGGACCCUACAGAACCCGGCUUACAGGCCGGCUG